AAAAGGCAGGGAGCAUUCCAGGCCACAGAGCUAGGGCUCUGUGGCUUGAGUACCCUAAAGCCUUGGUUCAUCAUUGAAGCAGCCAAGAUCCCCCACCCUCCAGAAGCCUCAGCAGGUCACCAGCAGAGGUUCCAAUGUGGCUGAGCAGACUGAGAAAAUCACCAGACUGGGCAGUGGGGCUGCCACCUCCCAGGUGGAAACUGCAUCUCCCUGCCCCCAGUACUGGCCAUGCCAGAAGAAGCAAGGGGUUCUGGGGUCCCACAUGGGGGCCUGCAGGGAAAGGAGUCCCUUGGGAUGGGAAGGCCGUCUCAUUUCACAGCACAGCUCCCUUCCAACCCCAAUAGCCUCUGGGAAAAUGACAAUCACCCCACCAGCAACCCAGAGACAGUUCCUCCCUAGGAUCUGUGAUCUUGGAACAAAAAGCUACCCUACUCCUUAGUGCCUCCUCGCCUCUGCCACCCACCCUUUUGGGUCCCUGGCAGGGACUGUGCCCUGGUCAGGACAGCUAGCAGCCCAUGUGCUUCCACCCCCACCCUCUCUCUGUUCCCAAUUCCCAGGUCAUGACACUGGAGCAGGAAGCGAAACCAGAGGUGGAGCCUGAGAAGGAUGGGGUUAUGGAUCCAAAGGACUAUAAAGAGCCUCAUAGGUCCUGGCCAGAGACCCUUUGCUGUGUCGCUGCACCUUCCCAGCAUCAUGGUAAUGUCUGGUGGCCAAGUCUGGGUCCCUGUCAACUGUAUCCUCCAGGAGAUUGGGGCUGGAAACUAAAACCAAAGGCCCCUCCCCAGACCCCCUAAGGGCAUGAUGGAGGAAAGCCAUUCUGGCUACUAAGACAGCUGCUAGGGCUUCCUGUCCCUGCUUGGGGUGGUGGGGAUGAGAAGAGUUCCUGGUUGAGCAUUGAAAGGCUCAGGGACUCUGUAGGUGUGUAUCAUAUUUAUGGGCAUCACAGUCUGAAUUUGUAUAUGCGCUUUUGUGUUAUAGAUGCAGAAUUUUCUAGGCAUGGUGGGGGCUGUAGGGGGCAGAAUUCCCAGGCUGGCAUUGCUGUAUGGGACUGAUAAUCAUUUAACAUGCAAUACUGAGCACCUACUAAGUGUCAGGCCCUGUUCUAUGUGCCUGAGCUACAUCAAUAAGAUAAAACAGGUAAAAGGCCAGCUAUCAAGGCAUUUAACAUUGAGGCAGAAGGUGUGGCUGGGAAGGAACUCAGUCAAUAAAUAUAACAAACAGAGUAUAGUAAGUAGGGAAAAGCAGAGCGAGAAGAGGAGCUGGGUUGCAAUUAUAAAUAGGGGUGUCAGCGUGGAACCCAUUCAGAAGGUGAAUUUUGAGCUGAUGCUUGAAGGAGGCAACGGAAUUGGCCCUGCCGAUGUCUGUCUGGUUGAAGAAGCAUCAGGAAGGCAGCAGUUCUGUCCCGUGUUUUUGAGGAACAGCAAGGAAGCAGAGGAGGCUGGAGGAGGGGGGUGAACAAGGAGUCUGCUAGAAAGGUCAGUGAGGUGAGGGAGGGACCGAUGGCUCUACGCCACGUGUCCAUCUCAGGUCGGGUCUCCCUGUCCAUUUUGAUCUCGGUGUUUCGUGUGCAUCAUUGUUCACGUCCAGAAGUGCACCUUUCACCCUGGGCAACCGGAUGUCCCUUAAAGCGCACAUACACCUGUGUAUGUCCCAGAGGCAGACACACUCCUUGGUCUGGGUGCCCCCGCACCCCUAUUUUCCCAUCCCGCCUGGCAUCUGUAACUUCGAGUCCUUGCGCUGGGCAAAACCCCGCCGGGCCGUCACGUGACUGCCGGGUGCUGUCCGCGGGGUCUGCAGGCUCAGCGUUGCGCGUGCGCAGUAGUGCUGGUGUGCCUACUGUCGCUGCUGCUACCUCCCGAGGGCGCUCUAGGCAAGGAGCAGGCACCGCAGGACCUCCCGGAGCCCAGGUUGUUCAACUGGUUGGCGAAUUUCAACAAGUACGUUGGGAAGAUCUUCAACGACAGCUUGGGAAAGUUUAAAAACCUGAAGAAGCUCAUAGAAGCCACGAAACCUCCCCCUUCGAACGCCACGAAACUCCCUACGGCUAGCCCUACGAAGUCCCAGACGCCGAGCACCCUGGUAGUAGGACCACCGAUCACGUCCCCAGGCCCCAGGUAGGGGAGCUGGGGCACUGCUGGCACUUCGUCGGGGACCUGGGAACCAAGGGCAGCUUGGGUGAGAGCAAGAGGAAGCUCCUGGGGGCAGGGGUGGAGGGAGAUAGCAGGGCCCAGGGGACUUCCUUCUCCAGGAUGGGCCUUGACCUCCAGGCACCUGGCUCAGAUGUCACCGCCCACCGCCCACCGACCACUUUACAUUGUGAGAGGGGCCUCAACUCCUCAGCGAGAGCAAUAAAAAAAUACAAUCUGUA